rnacentral:rRNA from 1 species
AAUGAACGCUGGCGGCAGGCCUAACACAUGCAAGUCGAACGGAUCCUUCGGGAUUAGUGGCGGACGGGUGGGUAACGCGUGGGAACAUACCCUUUGGUACGGAAUAGCCUCGGGAAACUGGGAGUAAUACCGUAUGUGGUCGAGAGACGAAAGAUUUAUCGCCAAAGGAUUGGCCCGCGUUGGAUUAGGUAGUUGGUGGGGUAAUGGCCUACCAAGCCGACGAUCCAUAGCUGGUUUGAGAGGAUGAUCAGCCACACUGGGACUGAGACAAGGCCCAGACUCCUACGGGAGGCAGCAGUGGGGAAUCUUAGACAAUGGGGGAAACCCUGAUCUAGCCAUGCCGCGUGAUCGAUGAAGGCCUUAGGGUUGUAAAGAUCUUUCAGGUGGGAAGAUAAUGACUGUACCACCAGAAGAAGCCCCGGCUAACUCCGUGCCAGCAGCCGCAGUAAAAC